rnacentral:rRNA from 1 species
UAGAGUUUGAUCCUGGCUCAGAUUGAACGCUGGCGGCAUGCCUUACACAUGCAAGUCGAACGGCAGCACGGGAGCAAUCCUGGUGGCGAGUGGCGAACGGGUGAGUAAUAUAUCGGAACGUGCCCAGUCGUGGGGGAUAACGCAGCGAAAGCUGUGCUAAUACCGCAUACGAUCUCUGGAUGAAAGCGGGGGACUCGCAAGAGCCUCGCGCGAUUGGAGCGGCCGAUAUCAGAUUAGCUAGUUGGCGGGGUAAAAGCCCACCAAGGCGACGAUCUGUAGCUGGUCUGAGAGGACGACCAGCCACACUGGAACUGAGACACGGUCCAGACUCCUACGGGAGGCAGCAGUGGGGAAUUUUGGACAAUGGGCGAAAGCCUGAUCCAGCAAUGCCGCGUGCAGGAUGAAGGCCUUCGGGUUGUAAACUGCUUUUGUACGGAACGAAACGGUCUGCCCUAAUACGGUGGGCUAAUGACGGUACCGUAAGAAUAAGCACCGGCUAACUACGUGCCAGCAGCCGCGGUAAUACGUAGGGUGCGAGCGUUAAUCGGAAUUACUGGGCGUAAAGCGUGCGCAGGCGGUUAUAUAAGACAGAUGUGAAAUCCCCGGGCUCAACCUGGGACCUGCAUUUGUGACUGUAUAGCUAGAGUACGGUAGAGGGGGGAUGGAAUUCCGCGUGUAGCAGUGAAAUGCGUAGAUAUGCGGAGGAACACCGAUGGCGAAGGCAAUCCCCUGGACCUGUACUGACGCUCAUGCACGAAAGCGUGGGGAGCAAACAGGAUUAGAUACCCUGGUAGUCCACGCCCUAAACGAUGUCAACUGGGUUGUUGGGUCUUCACUGACUCAGUAACGAAGCUAACGCGUGAAGUUGA